UCUCCUCCCCCUCUGUGUUUUUUCUCUCCCGUCCGUCGCCCUCCAAACUUCCAUACCUCACGCCACCGGCCACCCCAAGCCGCAAGACCGGAGCCAAAAAGACCGGCGUCACACCGCCACCACACCCGGCCCAGCCCGCUGCCAGCCGCUGCCGUUCAGCCGCCAGAAACUGUAAAACUCGAGCCAAUUUUGCACAGUUUUGCAACCUCUCAUUCUCCUUCAAUUCUCCUCCAAAUUUGUCGAGUAAGGUAUGGAUUUCUACCUAUUUUCCAUGCUCUAGCUGAUGGUUGGGUAGGUUUGCAUCGAUUUUGACUGUAGAUAGCUCUGUUUGUAAUUUGGAAUUCGGCCAGUUUUCAGCCUCCAUGUUCGGCCACUUCCGGUCAGUUUUUGGGGUAGGUCCAAGAACAAAAGUGGUUCCAAAUAUGGUGUUAUACCUAGGAUAGGAGUUUGGAGCCGUAGUUUUGAGAUUUUCCGGCGAUGCGUAAUCGCUUUGGACACCCAGCGCUGCCGGGGCGUGCGGCGGCUCGUGGGCGAGGGUGGUGCAGUGACACUGUGUCUUGAUACGAUCCUUAGGUCGUCACGAGUGCAUAGGAAUUCGCGGAUCUCAAUUUGGAUACCGUUUGAGCCUCGAACGGAUUUUCUAUAUUUUGUGAUUUUCGGGUUCAAUACUGUUGAGCCGUUGGAUCGUAAUCAAUUUUAGAUAUGUUACUCUAGAUAAUUUUAGAAACGUGUAGGAUUCGACGGAUCGUGAAUCGGAGUCCCGGAUACUCCGAAAUAGCGAACCCUAGGGCUAGGAUUUAGGAAUUAAGCGAUUACACGAUCAUGAUCAAUCCGACUGUUCGAUUGACACCAAUACCCUUGGGACAUGUGUCCUAGAUAUAUUGGACCUUCUAGCGGCUUCCGGAUCAUAUUGUGAGGUCAUGGACCUGUGGGGUCCCGGGUUGACUUUUUGGAUGUUAGCGCUUUUUGAGUCCCAAGAUACCGCUAAACUAUCCCACGUGGAAGGAAAGCUGUUAUGGGCAUAGGGAUAACUUUAAAUUGACGCACGUACUUUUAGGAGCCGGGGGUAGGGUUUUUCAUUUAAUACUAUAUUGUAUUAAUAGAAUAUUAUGGUCAUUGAAUCAGGCACCCGGGCACCAGUUGACCCGCAGAAGGGACCUUCAAGAGGUCCAGCGAGCUCAGACUAUCAGUGAGUGGACUCUUUGUUUUUAUAAAUGAAUUUAAGCAGUUCAACUUCAGUUAUAAGCUGUUUUAUUCUGUUAACUAUUUUAUGUUGCAUGCUGCCGAGUGAAAUCCCCUUUAACGAAGAUAGGAAAAGAUAUACUCGUUAAUUAUCAGAUAAAUGGCAGCAGAAUUUUAAACGUUACAGAAAGUUAAUUAUUCAACAGAUUUUCUUCAGAAACUUUAUAUUUUCUUCAACCACCUUGUACCCAAAUAUUAAAUGUUGCCUUCGGAUUAUAUUUGUUGCCUUCGGUUUAGUCAGCAUGCUUGACAGUUGCCCCACGAGUUCCUUGGUACUCGAACUCGUGUGGAGUAAGUAAUGCGGAUCAGGUGAACUACGGUCCCCUGCAUCCUGCGAGUUGCGGCUCGGACUGACUUCGUGUCACUGAGACCUGCGAGUAUGUGUCACCCAUGGUGAUGCAAGGAAUUGACGGAUAUAAGGAUUUGACGGAAAUAAGGGUACACCUAGGUGAUAGUUUUCAACUGUUUUCAAAUGUAUAGUUAUAUACAUGCAUUGAUUUCAGAAAUAAAGAAAAUAAGCUAGUUUGUAUAACUGUUUUUACAGUGGGGUUAGUAUGUUCAUGUGUUAUUUUCUAAAUUUGUUUUUGGGUCCACUCACCCUUUUUGUUGUUUUGCACCCCCAGGCAAUAGACGUGCACAUGAAUCCACCACCGGGCCACUUCCCAUCUUCUGCGCUUUUCUUAUGAUGUAGGAUUUUUGUUUGUAAAAGGAUUCACUCCUUUGUAAAUUCUUAGUAGUCGCUCUGAUAUUUUGCCCUAAACUGAGAAUUGAACUGUUGGAAUGUAUAUAUACGCAUGCUGGC
rnacentral:lncRNA from 1 species